AUGAUGAAGGUUUUGUUAUUAUUCAAAAGGACGGUUACCUUUUCAUGAUGAUAUUCAUGAAGAUGAGGAUGAGAUGAAUGAAGAAGAAGAAGAAGAAGAAGAAAAGUUUGAACAACAACGAAAAAGAAGAAGAUAAAAUAACAUCAAUUUUCUGUUAUCAUCAUCACGAUGAAGGUUUAUCAUCAUUAUCAUCUAAUAAUAUUAAAUGAUGAGAAGAAGAAGAAGAAGAAGAAAUGAUAAAGAUUGUCAAUCAGAUGAUGAACAAUUUUUUUCUCUUCUUCAUCUUUCCUUCCUAUUCAUUCAUAUUGAUCACAAUUGAUGAUCAUCAGCUCAUCAUGAUGACUUACACAAAAGAAAACAGGGGGAAAAGGAUGAUAAUAGGAAGAUAAUAUUGUUGAUAAAGAUGAAGAUAAUGAUGAUAAUUGAAUACACUUAUAUCUAUAUACAGUUAAUGUGACAUUUGCGUGAUAAAAUCUGUUAUCAUCAUCACUGGUUUAGUGUAACCUUUAAUGGUUAUCAUUACCUGUUAAGGUGUAAAGAGACAUUCACUCAUCAUCAUCUUCACACCUUUUAUCAUCCUGAUGAUGAUGAUAAUCACCAUCAUCAAGGUAUCAUGAUUAUCAUCAUUAAAAUGAAAGGACAAAAAUAAUUGAAUAGAUGACAAGAUUAUCCAGAUCAGAGAGUUGAUUAGAUUUGUUUUUUUUUUCUCAUUUGUUUCUCUUGAUUAACUUAAUCAUUAAUCAUUAACCUUUGGGUUAACGUUUUUAAAUUGAUGUCAUCAAGUAAUUUUGUGGUUACCAUGUUAACACCAUGUUGAUGAUAAUUAUCAUGAUGAUUAGAUAAAUUGUCGCCCUAAAGUAAUCUUCCCAAUCCUCUCAAGCAUCACUAAUAACCUUGUUUCUUAUAUAAAAAGACAACCUAAUUAUACAAUUUAAGACAAUUAAUUAGUUGUUAACUUGUCCUUUUAAAUGAUUUUCCUCUCUUUUUAUGCCCCUCGGCGAUUUUGCUUUCUCAUCACAUCGCAUCUUCAUCUUCAACUGAUGCGGUUUCCAUGGGGAGGGAUGAGCAAAGUAAAAGUUUCUCAUUGAUGAAAUUGUUUCAAUGAAACUUUUGUUUUCAUCGCUUUUCCGAUGACAAAAUCAUCGUGAAGGUUACAAGUGACAUCGAUGGGUUCAGAUGAACAUGAUGAUGAUGAUGAGGAGGGUUUGGCUCUUCAUCUUCAUCUUCAUCUUUCUCUGUAUUGUGAUUAUGCGGAGAAAAGACAGUGGGCGGAGAUGAGAUGGAAAAGAAAGAGAAGAGACAAAAAUAGACACAAGAUCAUCUGAGAGAUUGGAACACUUUCUUUUCUCUUUAUUUUUGUCUCUUGCUCUAUAUUCUCAAUCUAUUAUCACUUUUCCAGGCCUAUAACUCGAUGAUAAUACAAUCGACAAACAUGAUGACAAAUUUUUUCCUUUUCUUUCCAUCCCAAAGUUCGUAAUUAAGAUAAGGUCCCCAAAGAACUUUUGUCAUUUAAAUGUAUUUAAAAUUAGAAAACAGAUAAUUAAUACUGUUAUUGUUGAGAAUUCAAGAUUUCUGAUUUAUCAGAAUGACUAGGAAUUAAUUCCGUAAGCAUGGGUCAAGUAGACCCAUGCUUACGGAAUCUCUAGUGCAUGAGCAACGACUCAUGUAACUGUAAUCCAAAGUGGACUAAUAAAAUCAUUUCAAGUUCAAAUUUGGAACUGUUGAUCUUUUCCUUUCUUUUUGUUUGAUUUAUUCGUUUUUACACUUUUUCUCUUUUUAUUUGUUUAAUUUUCUCUUUUUUUCAACUUAAUUGUUUGGCUAUUUUCUCUUCUUUUUUCGUUCAUUUAAAGUCAACACUCAAUUUCGUUGUUAUUUGAUGGUUACUCUAACUUACUACCUCACGACUUGAUGGAGAAAAGAGAAUGAGAGAGAUGAUAUAAGUGGAAAUGUUUGACAACAUAGGAACUUGAAUGUAACAAGGCAACAUUUUUACCUUUUUCACAUUAAGGUGAUUAAUGAGAAUUACGUUGACUCUGUUUAAGACUCUUUUCUAUUUUAUCUUCUUCUUCUACAUUAACGAUGUUCUCGUGUCUCUCAUCCUGUUUGUCUUCUUUUCUCCUCUGCUUGUUUCUCUCUCUCUCUCUCUCUCUCUCUCUCUCUCUCUAAGGCGGUUAAAUGGCGAUUCUAAUACUCUUUCAAAACUGUUCUCUCUCUCCCUUUAUCCCUUUUCCAAAAUUGAUAAUGUAUCUCGUGUGUGUCCCAACCCUGUGUAUUUAUAUUAAUUAAUCUCUACUUCAUCUUAUUUUUGAAAGAGUAAGGGUCAAUUGCUUCUCUCUCUCUCUCCUCUUCUUUGGCUCCAUUGUCAAUUGUGGUAAUAAGCAAACAACGUUAACAUGAACUGGAAAACACCAAGGGACAGCGAUUUACAUUAAAAUCUUUACAAGAUUACCUUAAGGGCAUUUAAUUCUCAGUCAAUUUUUGUUUCAGUCUUUCAAGUGAAAACUGAGAAAAAAACAAGAAAGAAAAUAAGAAGAAAGUGAAACUCACACAGGGAGAAAUGUGAUGAUAAAAAGAUGAUAAAAAAUCCAGCAGAAAGAAGAUGGAAGAGGAUGGAAGCCAAGAAGAAAGAGGAACAAGAAAGACUAAAGACCAGAAAAAGAAAGGACUGAUCAAGAAAGAGACGGUUACUGUGAAAUAAUCUUUCAUGCCUCUGGCCUCGCCUUGUCUUGUGGUCACCGUGGUUUAUCAUCAUCAUGAUCAUGAUCUUCAUUAUCAGAAAGACCAGCCCAGAGAGAUUGUUCAUCUGAUGUACUAGGCCAAGCACCUCAUCAUCAUCAUCAUCAUUUUGUUUCGUGUCCUUGGGUUGAUUGGAUUCGCUGGAAACAGACAUUAUACCAACAUC